AUAUAUAUUACUUCUUUUUAUGAACAGCUCUGCAGCUGCUUCUAUAUCAAGUGGUUUUGCUAGCCAGUCUCCCUUUUUGGCAGAACCUUUUUACAUAAAAAAAUAUAUGAACAGUGUUGUAUUUAUUAUAUAAUAUAAAUAACAAAAUAUUUGCUCUCUUGUUACUCUCUACUGAGGUUUUGUACUGCAACGCUACCUAACUACGAGGGUGCAGCAUUUACAGGUUGGGAAUCCCAGAAAUUGGGACUUAAAAGGUGGACACAGAGGAUGGGACUCCUGUGGGGACAUGCUGAUGGGAGAUGGUGGUGUGUGUGUGUGUGUGUGUGUGUGUGUGUGUGUGUGUGUGUGUGUGUGUUACUUGGUGAAAUAAUUCAUUUAUAAAUCCAGAAGGUCGGGACAGAUGUUGUCAGACCUGAAGAACAGAGAAAGGUCUUCAUACCUACUCACAGUGUAAACAUGCUUGAAAACAGAGUGAGGUCUGGUACAGGAGUCAGGGCUUCACUUCCUGCCUUUUUAAAGAUGCUCAAAAAUGUGAAAUGUUCAAAAUGCUGGAGACAGAUUUUACCUGAACUUUCAAAGCUGUUGGUGCUUGGACUCAUUACAGACAACGUUGAUGUGUCACUGUUUGAUGACUGGUUGGUGUAAAAGGCCCAGAUGGUUUCGAUCUGGCAAAUUUAGUUUAAUACUCUGCUGUGGGUAAUUCCAAGAUACAUUAGAGUUAAAGCAGAAUCCCAGGAAUUACAACUUGGGUCUUGUUAUGGCCCUCAUUGCUUUAACAAGUUAUUUGCUCCGAGAUCUAAAAGUCGGACCGGGAAAGUAACCCGAGCGGUUGAGUUGACAUGUGCAAUAUCAUCACAACUGACAGAAAUCAACAUGCAACAACAGACAUGUGUAGCAAGUGCUUACCAGCCAGCAUCGGUUGAAAAUAAUAAGGAAAAAACGGGAUACAAUGAGUUAUUCAGCCAUUUCCCACAUAAGAAGAAAAGUCUCCAACCUGGUUAAUAUACUAUGCAAAUAGUAUACAUGCAUAUGCAUUGGCAGAUGAAUGAAAGGACAUGCAUCUGAUUGGCUUGUGACAGUCAGCAUAGCUUCUGUUUUCUCGUCACACUCGCAGUGUAGCAUCUAUUUGCUGAAUACAGGGUACUUUCAUUAUACUUUGUAUACUACAUAAAUCUAAUCUUGUUAACAACACAUGCUCUGCAGCAUCUGGCAGGUACCUGGAGUUACCCUAUACUGGAUAUGGGCUCAAAACCAGGCUCAACAUUACUUAAGACACGUCAGAGGGAUGUAAUGGAUUUAAUUAAUAAUGUUUCAACAUACCUGGAAACCUCCUACGGGCUGUUUAACUAAGCCUCAUCCUAAAUCUGUAGGCUGGGACGUGUACUAGACAACACUGGGCACUAACUAGAUGGUAACAGCAAGUGUUUUUAAUCAAGGGAUCCCAGUGGAUCUCCGCUUGCUGUUUUUGAAACGUGUUUUAAAUUGAAACACAUCUCAAAGGCGACCUUAUUUUUAGGCCUGUAAGCCUGUUUUUUCCCCACCGCUGUCCUGCGCCAUCUUCCCUGCGACAGGCGAAGACAUUUGGAUGUGCAAAUGUUUCUGCUACGCACAUGAAUGGUCUUCCUUAAUAUCUGCAACUCCUACAGCUGGAGCUCAACACCCAGCAGCUGUUCUAUCACUCAGACUACGAAAGGACUCGUCAGCACCCACCUUCACGUUGAGAAGGUGCGGAGAGUUUCGGUGUUAAAUUGCCGUCCGUUUAAGAUCACAUGACGCCAUCUGUUUGUAGGCUAGUCCGCUAUUUCUGUGCAAAAAGGAACACAAACCAAAGAAAGUACAGCACUCAAAAUGAAAUGUAUUUGGUUAAAGGGCCUGAAGAAGACCACAAUGAACUGCUUAAAGGGUUACAUUUGACUUAAAAA